AAUUUACUAUGUGAAUCUCCGGCGAAGCUUCUCUUUGAAUCUCCGGCGGAAGUUUCUCUGUGAAUCUCCGGCGAAGUUCUCCGUGAGUAUUGAUUUUCAGUGGCGAGUGUUUUUGUUUUUAGGUUGAAAUGUAUGACCUGAUCCAGUGAAGAAAAAAUCUGCCAUGUUUGGGCUAAAUUUGAAGUUAUUCGGAGUACUUAGACUUUGUCAGUUGUACAGAUAUGUUUAAUUGGAACGACGAAGAGACCACCCCUUGUAGAGACAGAGACGAAUCCAAUAGACCGCACUGUAGCUCAUCUGCUCUUCUACAAUCCAUCAGAGUUGCCGUCAAAACUUGCUGAAUUUCCCAAGUCAUCAAUGUUUUCAAUGCUCAAUUGUGAAAGAGAAGCAAUUGGUUCACCAAGCUUCCCAAGCAGAUUUUCACAACAGAAUUCUG
rnacentral:misc_RNA from 1 species